rnacentral:rRNA from 1 species
GCCAGUCAGCAGCCGCGGUAAUACGGAGGGUGCAAGCGUUAAUCGGAAUUACUGGGCGUAAAGCGUGCGUAGGCGGUUUAUUAAGUCAGAUGUGAAAGCCCCGGGCUUAACCUGGGAACUGCAUUUGAAACUGGUCAACUAGAGUAUGGUAGAGGAAAGUGGAAUUUCUGGUGUAGCGGUGAAAUGCGUAGAUAUCAGAAGGAACAUCAAUGGCGAAGGCAGCUUUCUGGACCAAUACUGACGCUGAGGUACGAAAGCGUGGGUAGCAAACAGGAUUAGAUACCCUGGUAGUCCACGCCGUAAACGAUGAUAACUAGCCGUUGGGGGGAUUUACCCCUUAGUGGCGAAGCUAACGCGUUAAGUUAUCCGCCUGGGGAGUACGGCCGCAAGGCUAAAACUCAAAGGAAUUGGCGGGGGACCACGGUCAUAGCU